CCCCCGUUCUCUCUCUCUCUCUCUCUCUCUCUCUGGCUCUCUCUCAUAAAAAAAUCGGCCCCAAAUCGGAGUUCGCUGCCGUCGGAGUUCGCUGCCGUCGGAGUUCGCCGAUGGCGUCGAGAGUUCGUCGCUGCCGUCGAGACCUGAAGUUCGCCGCUGGCUCUCUCUGAUUAAUUCGCUCUCUUUCCUCUCGCUAGGGUUUUGAUUUGCCCUAAUUCUUCUCUCAAGGUUCGAAUCUUGACAUGGCUUCCAACGCCGGCUCAUCCCGCUGCUCUGUAUUCGUUGGAAAUAUACCCUACGACUUCACCAAGGAGUAAAUGAUUGAGAUUUGCAAGGAUAUUGGACCGGUUGUGUCUUUUAGGGAGCAACAAUUAUUGAUCAACAUGUCUGCAUCGUUCGCUGGGGACAGUAUAAAGAACCUUCUAGUUUUUGGGACAUGCCUACAUGGAGUGUUGAAGAUGACAAUGAUCCCUUGGCUGGUAAUCAAGGCCGUUUGACUGUCUUGCUCGUAAGCAUGAAGGAAAGUGCUCCACGAAGACAGCCAGCUAUUGUAUUUUUGCAUAGUUCUUACAAGUGCAAGGAAUGGUUACAUCCAUUACUUGAGAAGGAUUGUUUCUUGCUCAAGGAGUUUCUUUAUACAGGCAUAUGCUUCAAGGGGAUAUAUUGCAGUGGCAAUUGAUUCUCGCUACCAUGGAGAAAGAGCUAGCAACAGGACCACUUACCUAGAUGUAAGCAAAUGUUCCUUCUCUCUCACCCCUCAAAACAAGUCAGAAAGAAUCCUAGUUCUCAGUUACACAUGAUAUUCUCUUGAGUUGGAUGCUUGUCGGAAGGAGGUUGAGAUGCUUAAGCUGGAGAUUGGUCAUCUCAAUAAUAGAAUCACAGAGUUGCAUGAAAGUACUAAAAAUGCCGACCUUGUGGAGUAUGAGCGGAUGAAGGAUGAGCAGCAACAAAUUAAGAAGAAAAAUGAGACACUGACAAGAGAGAAGGAAGAACUUCACUUUAAAAACCAAGUCCUUCUGAAACAAUUAGAAGAUUCUAAAUCAAGCCUCAAGCAUUACUAUCGUUGAUCAUACCCGUGCACAUUCGAUCUGGGACUUGACGGACUCACAGGUCCAAUUUUAUGUCCGUCAAGCAGCCUUCUUUGAGUGCUUACAAAUUAAAUGUGUGAGACUUGAUUAGGCUCUCUUGACGACACUGAUUGAACGUUAGAGGCCCGAGACAAAUACAUUCUACCUGCGCCAAGGAGAGUUGAUUACAUUGCAGGAUAUUGGGGUUUUGCUUGGACUCAGAGUGGAUGGAGAUGCUGUCACGGGUAGCAACGACUUUAAUUGGGUAGGGAAGUGCAAAGAAUUUCUAGGUCAAGUUCCUCACAUGAAGGGUGGUAAGAUCAAGCUUGAAUGGUUGAGAAACAAUUACACGAAUGUACCGAUCGAUGCGACCGAGGAGAUCAUCAAGAUGUAUGUCCAUGCAUACAUACUUCAUAUGAUCGAUACUAUUCUUUUUCCGGAUUUCACGAAGGAUUCGAUGCAAGUGAGGUGGUUGCCACUCCUGGAGGAUCUUGAGGAUUAUGGAGAAUUAUCAUGGGGGAGUGUCGUGUUAGCGUAUCUGUAUAGGGAGAUGACCAAAGUGGCAUUUGUUCAAAACAAAGAAUUCAAGGGGUGUCUCACUCUGCUACAGAUAUGGUCUUGGGAGAUAUUGCAUUUGGGUUGCCCAGAUUUGAGGGAGACUCAUGCUCUCGAUGACCAUAUUCCAUUAGGCUGCAGGUGCAAUGUGUCCAAAUCUUGACAUACCUCACCAAAGGGCCAUGAAAACUUUUACAGGAAUGAGCUUGAUCAAAUGGAGGAUGAACAUGUCAAGUGGAUGUCAUAUGAACUAGUUUUGGAGUCACUACCAGAUAUUUGCAGGGAAGGUGAGGAUGCAUGGCGUGCUCGCGUCCCGAUCAUAUGUUUUGAGAUUGUCGAGAUGCACGUGCCCGACCGUGUGCUCCGACAAUUUGGGCUCCAACAACAUAUUUCGUCCCUGUGGAGUGAAUAAAGUGAAAUCCCAAAAAAGAUGCACAUCAUGCAAAUUGGGAAUAUAUUCGACAUGCUUACAUCAGGAGGUGGGAGUUGAGGGAGGAACAAGUAGUGAUGGAGAGGGCUGACACACCUGACCUAGGUGUGUAUUUGCGGUGGUAUUGAAGGAUUACUCGCAGGUGGAUAUUUCAGGAGAACAAAACCCCUAAGGAGUACAUACCAAGAGGCCUCGUUGAGAGAGAGUUGGUACAAGAGCUCGUAGAGCUUUCUACUAUGGCAUGAUGCAUUACGAACGACUACCGAGCCAGAGCCGAGGAACACGUUCCUUCGCAUGAUAAAAAAGAUUCGGUCCGCUCUUCAGAGGACGUGUAAUGCAAGACGUGAUGGACGUGAGGAGCGACCAAUUGAGUACGGGCGUCGACGGUUCCGAGAACACACGGGGGCAUGCUCAAGCUGUGCACAUGAUGAAGCUGGCGGCUCACAGCAGACUCAAGCCGAAUGUUCACAGCCGGUUCGAGUCGACGAGGAUGUCAUGCACUCUCAACUUCACACACAACCGGACGAGGAUCUCAUCCGAGCUCACAUCGAAGGUGAACGGAGAAGGGGAGAGGAAGGAGAGGGAGAGGAAGAGGUAGAGGAGAUGGAGUUGUAAAUAUUUGUUAAGUUUCGAUAUACUUGAUAGGAUUUUUUGCGUUUGAAACUGAAUAUUAUGUAUCCGAUUGAGUAUUGAUUAUUAGUAUGUG